CACAAGGAGAAAUAGUGCUCAACUUGCAUGGAAAAGUUUUCCAAGAAAAGACAAGUGAAGUAGAUAAUGAGUCAAAUGAAAUGAUUCUUAGAACAAGAAAUGUUGAGACACAAGGAGAAAUAGUGCUUGACUAUUGCAUGGACAUUUUUUUCUAAGAAAAGGCUCGUGAAGCAGAUAAGGAAUAUUCAAAUGAAAUGACUCUUAAGAUGAGGUGGAAUAGAUACUAGUGCAACUACAAUGACAUGGGCGAUGGCAGAAUUACCAGAGAAUUAUAUAUAUGUAUCCAAUGCUACACAAAUUGGAAGUAAGAAUCGGGUACAUGGUUAGAGGUGAAGAAAAAUUUGGGAAGCGGAUUCCUUUUUCAAGGAGGCAUGGCUUAGUUAAAGUGGAUCAGCACAAGUGGCAGAGAAAUAUGAAAGCCCUCUACCAAAAAGGAAACGUAGAUACCACAUUGAAUUUGAGGAGGGAAAUUUUUUUCCAAGAAAAGGCACGUGAAGUGGAUGAAGAGUCAAAUGAAAUGAUUCUUAGAACAAGAAAUGUUGAGACACAAGGAGAAAUAGUGCUCAACUUGCAUGGAAAAGUUUUCCAAGAAAAGACAAGUGAAGUAGAUAA